GACGAACGCUGGCGGAAUGCUUUACACAUGCAAGUCGAACGGCAGCACGGACUUCGGUCUGGUGGCGAGUGGCGAACGGGUGAGUAAUACAUCGGAACGUGCCCAGUCGUGGGGGAUAACGUAGCGAAAGCUACGCUAAUACCGCAUACGAUCUAAGGAUGAAAGCGGGGGAUCGCAAGACCUCGCGCGAUUGGAGCGGCCGAUGGCAGAUUAGGUAGUUGGUAGGGUAAAGGCCUACCAAGCCGACGAUCUGUAGCUGGUCUGAGAGGACGACCAGCCACACUGGGACUGAGACACGGCCCAGACUCCUACGGGAGGCAGCAGUGGGGAAUUUUGGACAAUGGACGCAAGUCUGAUCCAGCCAUUCCGCGUGCAGGAUGAAGGCCCUCGGGUUGUAAACUGCUUUUGUACAGAACGAAAAGGCUCUGGUUAAUACCUGGAGCUCAUGACGGUACUGUAAGAAUAAGCACCGGCUAACUACGUGCCAGCCGCCGCCGUAA
rnacentral:rRNA from 1 species